GAUGAAGAACGCAGCGAAAUGCGAUAAGUAAUGUGAAUUGCAGAAUUCAGUGAAUCAUCGAAUCUUUGAACGCACCUUGCACCCUUUGGCAUUCUGAAGGGUAUGCUCGUUUGAGUGUCAUUGUACUCUCACACUCCCGAUCUUUGCAUUGGGAGCAGUGGACUUGGGUUUGCUGCUUCACCGUCGCUUACCUCAAAUAGGUUAGUGCAACUCUUGGUUGGACAUAGUACGGCGUGAUAAGUGUUCUUCGCCGGUGCCUCGCAAAGAGGGUGGCCGAUCGGGAUGUUGUGCUCCAAACCGUCUUCGGACAAUCUCUGACGACUUGACCUCAAAUCGAGUAAGACUACCCGCUGAACUUAAGCAUAUCAAUAAGCGGGGA
rnacentral:misc_RNA from 1 species